rnacentral:tRNA from 1 species
CGGGGUGUGGCGCAGCUUGGUAGCGCACUUGCAUGGGGUGCAAGGGGUCGUUGGUUCGAAUCCAAUCACCCCGACCA